GGGGAGGUGAAAGGAGGGGGAACACAGCCGGGAAGGUGAGAGACAGCGAUGCUCUCUCCUCUGGCCCGGAGCAAAAACCUUUGUCCCGCAGAUUCCCCCGGCUGAACCCCUCCGCUGGGCUGAAUUUAGCAGCAGAAGAGAUAACCGGCAGAUAAGGACUGAUACCCUGGGAGGACAGCGGGAGACGGGCAGGCGGCCGAGGAAAAGGAGAGAAGCCGGAGGCAGCGUUGGGAAGGGCUGCCUAUCCAGAUGUGCCGGGUUCGGGACGCUCAUCUUCCCUUCCUUUGCAAAAUCCCUGACGGUUCUCUUUCCCAAAGCAGCGAUUUCCUAAAGAUUCGUUGAAUUCCUGCUGAAAAUCAGCGCUUUCCUUAAAAAAAAAAAAAAAAAAAAAGGCAAAAAAAGCAAAAAUGCAAUUUAAACUGAUUAAACCCGGCCAAGAAGCAAUACUUGGAGCAGAGAAGAUUUCAAGGACCUGUUUUGGCUUUGCUACUUCCAGGAAAAAAACGUACAAAAGCAAUUCCCGUGGAUUGUGGCCGGAUCCAGCCUCUUUCUGCGGGGAAUUGUCGGUCGGUGGAGCCGGGAAUCGCCGGGACGAGCAUCCCGAAAAUCGGAGAGUUAAGGAACCGCGCUGAGCCCAGCCUGGCGUGACCCAACAGCCGAGAAGGGCAGGAUGGAUUUCGGACACAAUUUCUCCCGGAAAAAGCAGAUGGGACACAGCAAAGCGCAGCGACAAAAAAAAGCCCAAACCAAACCCAAAACUCUGUUCUGUACUCGGUGGAGCUUUUUUCCCCUUGCGAUUAACGAAAUCUGGCUGAAAAUAACCCAGGGGAACAAACUUUGGCCUGAUCUCUCUCCUUUCCAGCCCCCACUUCUGCCCCAAGCAGGAAAAAAAUCGAUUCGAUGCCUAUUUUAAAA